ACCAUCAGCUAUAUCACCUUGCAACCCACUGAAGCUAAGCAGGUGUGAGCCUGGUCAGUACCUGGAUGGGUGACCUCCUGGGAAAACUAAGGUUGCUGCUGGAA
rnacentral:rRNA from 1 species